CCUACGGGUGGCUGCAGUGGGGAAUAUUGCACAAUGGGGGAAACCCUGAUGCAGCGACGCCGCGUGAGUGAAGAAGUAUUUCGGUAUGUAAAGCUCUAUCAGCAGGGAAGAGAAUGACGGUACCUGACUAAGAAGCCCCGGCUAACUACGUGCCAGCAGCCGCGGUAAUACGUAGGGGGCGAGCGUUAUCCGGAUUUACUGGGUGUAAAGGGAGCGUAGACGGCUGUACAAGUCUGGAGUGAAAGGCCGGGGCUUAACCCCGGAACGGCUUUGGAAACUGUGCAACUGGAGUGCUGGAGAGGUAAGUGGAAUUCCUAGUGUAGCGGUGAAAUGCGUAGAUAUUAGGAGGAACACCAGUGGCGAAGGCGGCUUGCUGGACUGUAACUGACGUUGAGGCUCGAAAGCGUGGGGAGCAAACAGGAUUAGAUACCCCGGUAGUC
rnacentral:rRNA from 1 species